AUUGAACGCUGGCGGCAUGCUUUACACAUGCAAGUCGAACGGCAGCGCGGGCUUCGGCCUGGCGGCGAGUGGCGAACGGGUGGGUAAUACAUCGGGACGUGCCCAGUAGUGGGGGAUAGCUCGGCGAAAGCCGGAUUAAUACCGCAUACGACCUGAGGGUGAAAGCGGGGGAUCUUCGGACCUCGCGCUAUUGGAGCGGCCGAUGGCAGAUUAGCUAGUUGGUGGGGUAAAGGCCUACCAAGGCGACGAUCUGUAGCUGGUCUGAGAGGACGACCAGCCACACUGGGACUGAGACACGGCCCAGACUCCUACGGGAGGCAGCAGUGGGGAAUUUUGGACAAUGGGCGAAAGCCUGAUCCAGCAAUGCCGCGUGUGUGAUGAAGGCCUUCGGGUUGUAAAGCACUUUUGGCGGGAACGAAAAGGACUGUGCCAAUACCACGGUUCGAUGACGGUACCCGCAGAAUAAGCACCGGCUAACUACGUG
rnacentral:rRNA from 1 species